CCAGUGGUGGCUCAGUUGGUAGAGCAUGGUGUUUGCAACGCCAGGGUUGUGUGUUCGAUUCCCACGGGG
rnacentral:tRNA from 1 species